CGCGUAGGCGGACUUUCAAGUCGGAUGUGAAAACUAUCGGCUCAACUGAUAGCCUGCAUUCGAUACUGUUGGUCUUGAGUACAGGAGAGGAGAGCGGAAUUCCAGGUGUAGCAGUGAAAUGCGUAGAUAUCUGGAAGAACACCGGUAGCGAAGGCGGCUCUCUGGACUGAUACUGACGCUAAAGCGCGAAGGCUUGGGUAGCAAACA
rnacentral:rRNA from 1 species